CGCGUAACAUUUACCUGUGUACUCGGGCACAGGUAAAUAUGUAUUUAAAAGAGCUAUACUAAGGUAAAUAGUGCUUAAGUUUUACAUUUUAAAAAUAAGGGAUAAAAAGAGCUAUACUAAGGUAAAUAGUGCUUAAGUUUUACAUUUUAAAAAUAAGGAAUAAAAAGAGCUAUACUAAGGUAAAUAGUGCUUAAGUUUUACAUUUUAAAAAUAAGGGAUAAAAAGAGCUAUACUAAGGUAAAUAGUGCUUAAGUGUUACAUGUAUAAAAAUAUAAGGAAUAAAAAGCUUACAUUGCUGAGCCAUAAAGAUGGGGCCAUGCAAGACAGAUGAAAUAAGAUGCAGAGCCUGGUACAGACAGAAUGACGGUCAAUAACACAUUUUAAAAAACUCAAUAUGAGCAUAAGUUAAUAAUGAUAAUGCUGCUAAUGAAAUAACCAGCCCUGUACAGUCAGUGUGACUUUAUUUUUUAUCCACUAAGUGUCAAAGUGAUCACUCUUUA